AUCACGUGAUUGGCUCUUCAACGACGCCAUUUUUAUUCAAGCAGAUUGAAAUGCAGUUUCGACUUCGUUAUUUGACACAAAUAUCAGGCUAUUUUGAAGAAAUUGCCAUCAAAAAGGCUGUAUGAAUCGGAUAGUGACACUGAUGAGAAUGAGACAGACACCGAGAGUAGACCAUCACAAGUUAUUGACAAAGCAACAACGCCAAACAGGCACGAAGCCUGCUUUCACCUCCGCCUUGCUUAUCUGCACAGGCAUUGCGAGAGGCCAGCAGUGAUGUGCAAAGUGCUUCUCCAAUACAAGGUGCUUCUGAUACGCCCUCCCGUGGGCAGAUUAUUGGGCCGACUGCUGUUACACAGAUUCUCUGAGUCUUGGAGACAAUGCGGGAGGAGAAUCGUGAAAAUAAGAGGAUGAUGUAGCAAUUGUUGUCAAGGUCAGCAGCAGAUGACCAACCGCUGCAGCUUCCUGAAGAUAUCUCAUUCCCCAUUCGUUCUCCUUAGCAGAUGGAAACAUUCGAUGAGCUUCUGGAAGAUCAGACAAAGCUGUCAUCUGUGGUGCGGUUCCUCUCAAUGUUUGGUGGGGCAGUUGUGCGGGAAACUGUUGACCGCUAGAUGAUAGAAACCAUGUCAAAUGAACUGGCAAGAAUGUUCAAUAUGAAGGGGCUGAAAGGGAAGAAAACAUUUGGGGGCCUCUAGAUACUGAAUGUAUUGUAUAAAUGUGUCCAAAGGAACUUGCCGACAAAGACUGCAACGAGGAAGGAUGUAGAAAUAGAGGUUUCAAAGUGGCUGGCUGGGGAGUGGGACCGCGAUGGGGGAAGGAAAGCAAGAAACAAAGUGUCCGAGACCUUACCUUAAGCAAAUGAAGGAAGUGACUAGACAUGUUUUUAUUUUUUAAAAAUGCAAAUCUAUAGAGGAUACAUGUAUUUGUUUGUUAGUGUGUAAGAUGAAAUUUUAUAUCAUCAAGUGAGCUGUAAAAACAUUAUUCUCACGAGUGAGAACACUGUUAUUAUAUAAAAGUCCCUCAAUGAUAUAAAAUUACAUCUUACACAACAAACAAUAAAGUGUCUUUUUAUUUUAUGCUAAUGAAACUUCCUCAAUAUUAACUUUAAUAAUUAUUAAAUCUGUUUUCCCCACUGUUAACAUCAAUUUUAGUUGAAUUUAAGUCCAAUUAUUCAUAAAUAAAGGAGUCUUGGGCUAUACA